rnacentral:rRNA from 1 species
AACGAACGCUGGCGGCGUGGAUAAGACAUGCAAGUCGAACGGGGUUACUUUUGGUAGCAAUACCGAGAGUGACUUAGUGGCGAACGGGUGCGUAACACGUGGGCAAUCUGCCUUAAAGUGGGGGAUAGCUCGGCGAAAGCCGAAUUAAUACCGCAUGUGAUCAGCUAAGACAUCUUAGCGACAUCAAAGUUGGUUGUAGCAAUACAGCUAACGUCUUUUGAGGAGCCCGCGGCCUAUCAGCUAGUUGGCGAGGUAACGGCUCACCAAGGCUUUGACGGGUAGCUGGUCUGAGAGGACGACCAGUCACACUGGAACUGAGACACGGUCCAAGA